AGACACCUUGUAUUCAGAACCUGGCAAAUUCAGUCUCUUCCAAGAACUUAAUGCCAGGUUCAAUGGGAGACUGCACCUGUCCGAACACUGUGUGAAAUACCAGAAGUAGAUGCCUGCAGCCUGCUUCCUCCAUUCCCAAUGCCCAAAGCAGGUGGGACACCUGGCUCCAGUGCCCACCCUUGUCCUCUUUGCCUGGUGAUAUGGAAACCAAGACCCAGAGAGGGGAAUUCAUUUGAAUCCUGUCUUGGAGCUGCUUUUGUUCCUGGGUUUAGAAAGUUCCUGGGAACACAGGGAAAGGAAAGCUCCCAACUGAGAACUACCAACAUUUGAAUUCUUUCCACCAGUGAACGCCUCCAGGAUCUGAACCCAGGAUCUUUAGCCUCUGCUAUCCUACCCUGAUCCUGAAAUACCAUUGAGGUGGGAAGGACCCAUCAGUCCUCAUCCUUACACAAGUAUACCCAGGCCAGGACUGAUAUGUCCACUGGUAUUAAGGGCCCUGCCCUGGAACAGAGGGCAGCCCUAGGUGAA
rnacentral:lncRNA from 1 species